ACGGUCCAGCAGUAGACUCACUUCUCAACAUCUUUGCAGAGGAUAAGCACAGCAGCAAAGACAGUCAGGUCCAGUCACAGCCAGAGUUCAAGACUCAAAAGGUGAUAGCUCUGAUUUAAAGACUCAGUUAUUGCUCAAUUAAUCCCACCAUUCAAGACAAACAUGAAUACUGCAAUCCCAUCCGUUCUACUGCUGCUCUGCAUCACUGUUUGCACUUUGAAGGGGGAAACUGUGAUGUAUGGCCGCUGCCGUUGCAUUCAACUGAGCCGACAUUUGACCAGGGCCACUGUCUCCCGCAUCACCAACAUCAGGCUGCUGACUGUGAAUCCCUUCUGCAGCAAGAUAGAGGUCAUUGUGACGCUGAGAGAUGGCUCUGAGCGGUGCCUUGAUCCAUAUUCAAGCUUCACACAAAAACUCCUGGAAACAGAGAUACGCACAAAGCAGAGGCGUUCAAGCUCUCUUCGGAUGACCACCACCAGCCUGGUGAGCUCCACCUGAGCCACAGCUGUGCCUCAUCUGAUGGACGACGACUGUGAACCUUCCUUUGCAUAUCAUGUUGAUCGUUACUGGAGCAAGGAGGGUGAAAAGGGUGCAGCAUGGCAAAGAUAGGCAGAACACUGUGACCAUUAUUUUAUCCUGAUGAAACACAUAUUAUUGGUUUCACUAAUUUUACUUGUUCCAAAGAAAUAAGUAACUUAAGUGACAGCUCUUCACACUGGUUACAAGAAAUACAGAAUUUUAAAGCUGCAGCUGGCAACUAUGCAAACUAAUGUCUCGAAAUGGCAGCGAGAAGUAAAAGUUUUAGCAUUUUUAGCUUGAGCACCGCAGAAAUGACCUAACACGACAUCAGACAGUCUGUGAUGGCUUUACACCAAAGGGAAUAUAAAACCAUUAAGAGCGCACACGCAUGCAGGAGUGCCAGGAUUACACCGGAGCUCCUUUUAUUCUUAACUCACGGAGGUCAGUACACCAGCCAAGAUGAAAGCAGACUCCAUUAACACAAACUAUGGUUGCACACUCAGCUUUAAUUGUGCAACAGCUGUUUCAGCAGGGCGUCUUUAAUCAGGGUUUUAUGGGGGUCAUUGCUUGAUAGUAAAAUUACACCCUAUGACUAUGUAAUCUCUAAGUACGUUGUGUUUUUGUCUCCACUUUACAAUAAAACUCCAUAAAACUUUGGA